rnacentral:rRNA from 1 species
CCUACGGGAGGCUGCAGUGAGGAAUAUUGGUCAAUGGACGAGAGUCUGACCCAGCCAAGUAGCGUGAAGGAAGAAGGCUUUCGGGUUGUAAACUUCUUUUAAGGGGGAAGAGGAGAAGACGGUACCCCUUGAAUAAGCCACGGCUAACUACGUGCCAGCAGCCGCGGUAAUACGUAGGUGGCAAGCGUUGUCCGGAUUUACUGGGUGUAAAGGGCGUGCAGCCGGGAGGACAAGUCAGAUGUGAAAUCCCGCGGCUCAACCGCGGAACUGCAUUUGAAACUGUUUUUCUUGAGUACCGGAGAGGUCAGCGGAAUUCCUGGUGUAGCGGUGAAAUGCGUAGAUAUAAGGAAGAACACCAGUGGCGAAGGCGGAUGACUGGACGGCAACUGACGGUGAGGCGCGAAAGCGUGGGGAGCAAACAGGAUUAGAUACCCCAGUAGUC